rnacentral:rRNA from 1 species
GUUGUAUGGUUAAGUGACUAAGCGUACAUGGUGGAUGCCUUGGCAGUCAGAGGCGAUGAAGGACGUACUAACCUGCGAUAAGCUGUGAGAAGUCGGUAAGAGACGCUAUUACUCACAGAUUUCCGAAUGGGGAAACCCACCCGAGAUAACUCGGGUAUCUGUUACUGAAUACAUAGGUAACAGAGGCGAACCGGGAGAACUGAAACAUCUAAGUACCCCGAGGAAAAGAAAUCAACCGAGAUUCCCUCAGUAGCGGCGAGCGAACGGGGAUUAGCCCUUAAGCAUCUUGGAAGUUAGUGGAACGGUCCUGGAAAGGCCGGCGAUACAGGGUGAUAGCCCCGUACACGAAAACAACCUUGAUGUGAAAUCGAGUAGGGCGGGACACGUGACAUCCUGUCUGAAUAUGGGGGGACCAUCCUCCAAGGCUAAAUACUCCUGACUGACCGAUAGUGAACCAGUACCGUGAGGGAAAGGCGAAAAGAACCCCUGUGAGGGGAGUGAAAUAGAACCUGAAACCGUGUACGUACAAGCAGUGGGAGCCCUUCGGGGUGACUGCGUACCUUUUGUAUAAUGGGUCAGCGACUUACAUUUUGUAGCGAGGUUAACCGUAUAGGGGAGCCGUAGGGAAACCGAGUCUUAACUGGGCGUCUAGUUGCAAGGUGUAGACCCGAAACCGGGUGAUCUAGCCAUGGGCAGGUUGAAGGUUGAGUAACAUCAACUGGAGGACCGAACCCACUAACGUUGCAAAGUUAGGGGAUGACCUGUGGCUGGGGGUGAAAGGCCAAUCAAACUCGGAGAUAGCUGGUUCUCCCCGAAAGCUAUUUAGGUAGCGCCUCGGACGAAUACUACUGGGGGUAGAGCACUGUUUGGGCUAGGGGGUCAUCCCGACUUACCAACCCCAUGCAAACUCCGAAUACCAGUAAGUAAUAUCCGGGAGACACACGGCGGGUGCUAACGUCCGUCGUGAAGAGGGAAACAACCCAGACCGCCGGCUAAGGUCCCAAAGUUCUGGUUAAGUGGGAAACGAUGUGGGAAGGCUCAGACAGCUAGGAUGUUGGCUUAGAAGCAGCCAUCAUUUAAAGAAAGCGUAAUAGCUCACUAGUCGAGUCGGCCUGCGCGGAAGAUGUAACGGGGCUCAAACCAGGCACCGAAGCCGCGGAUUCACACUUAUGUGUGAGUGGUAGGGGAGCGUUCUGUAAGUCUGCGAAGGUGUAUCGAGAGGUAUGCUGGAGAUAUCAGAAGUGCGAAUGCUGACGUAAGUAACGAUAAAGGGGGUGAAAAGCCUCCUCGCCGGAAGACCAAGGGUUCCUGUCCAACGUUAAUCGGGGCAGGGUGAGUCGACCCCUAAGGCGAGGCCGAAAGGCGUAGUCGAUGGGAAGCAGGUUAAUAUUCCUGCACGACUUGUAAUUGCGAUGGGGGGACGGAGAAGGCUAGGUGGGCCAGGCGACGGUUGUCCUGGUGAAAGUGCGUAGGUGGUGUUUCUAGGCAAAUCCGGAGACACAACACUGAGACACGAGACGAACACACUACGGUGUGGAAGCCAUUGAUGCCCUGCUUCCAGGAAAAGCCUCUAAGCUUCAGAUUACAAGUCAUCGUACCCCAAACCGACACAGGUGGUCGGGUAGAGAAUACCAAGGCGCUUGAGAGAACUCGGGUGAAGGAACUAGGCAAAAUAGAACCGUAACUUCGGGAGAAGGUUCGCUCUUGACAGUGAAGUCCCUUGCGGAUGGAGCAGUUGGGAGUCGCAGUGACCAGAUGGCUGGGACUGUUUAUCAAAAACACAGCACUCUGCAAACACGAAAGUGGACGUAUAGGGUGUGACACCUGCCCGGUGCCGGAAGGUUAAUUGAUGGGGUUAGCGCAAGCGAAGCUCUUGAUCGAAGCCCCGGUAAACGGCGGCCGUAACUAUAACGGUCCUAAGGUAGCGAAAUUCCUUGUCGGGUAAGUUCCGACCUGCACGAAUGGUGUAACCAUGGCCAUGCUGUCUCCACCCGAGACUCAGUGAAAUCGAAUUCGCCGUGAAGAUGCGGUGUACCCGCGGCUAGACGGAAAGACCCCGUGAACCUUUACUACAGCUUGGCACUGAACAUUGAACCUACAUGUGUAGGAUAGGUGGGAGGCUUUGAAGGCGUGACGCCAGUUGCGCUGGAGCCGUCCUUGAAAUACCACCCUUGUAUGUUUGAUGUUCUAACGCAGGGCCCUGAAUCGGGCUCGCGGACAGUGCCUGGUGGGUAGUUUGACUGGGGCGGUCUCCUCCCAAAGAGUAACGGAGGAGCACGAAGGUUGGCUAAUCCUGGUCGGACAUCAGGAGGUUAGUGCAAUGGCAUAAGCCAGCUUAACUGCGAGACGGACAGGUCGAGCAGGUACGAAAGUAGGUCAUAGUGAUCCGGUGGUUCUGAAUGGAAGGGCCAUCGCUCAACGGAUAAAAGGUACUCCGGGGAUAACAGGCUGAUACCGCCCAAGAGUUCAUAUCGACGGCGGUGUUUGGCACCUCGAUGUCGGCUCAUCACAUCCUGGGGCUGAAGUCGGUCCCAAGGGUAUGGCUGUUCGCCAUUUAAAGUGGUACGCGAGCUGGGUUCAGAACGUCGUGAGACAGUUCGGUCCCUAUCUGCCGUGGGCGUUGGAUGAUUGAAGGGAGUUGCUCCUAGUACGAGAGGACCGGAGUGAACGAACCUCUGGUGUUCGGGUUGUCACGCCAGUGGCACUGCCCGGUAGCUAAGUUCGGAAUCGAUAACCGCUGAAAGCAUCUAAGCGGGAAGCGAGCCCUGAGAUGAGUCAUCCCUGACCCCUUGAGGGUCCUAAAGGGCCGUUGGAGACCACAACGUUGAUAGGUGGGGUGUGUAAGUGCAGCGAUGCAUUGAGCUAACCCGUACUAAUUACCCGUGAGGCUUAACCAUACAACACCCAAGAAGUGUUCU